GACGAACGCUGGCGGCGUGCUUAACACAUGCAAGUCGAGCGGUAAGGCCCUUUCGGGGGUACACGAGCGGCGAACGGGUGAGUAACACGUGGGUGACCUGCCUUUAGCUCUGGGAUAAGCCCGGGAAACUGGGUCUAAUACCGGAUAUGACUCCGCGGUGCAUGCUGUGGGGUGGAAAGCCUUGUGCGGCUGGAGAUGGGCCCGCGGCCUAUCAGCUUGUUGGUGGGGUGAUGGCCACCAAGGCGACGACGGGUAGCCGGCCUGAGAGGGCGACCGGCCACACUGGGACUGAGACACGGCCCAGACUCCUACGGGAGGCAGCAGUGGGGAAUCUUGCGCAAUGGGCGAAAGCCUGACGCAGCGACGCCGCGUGAGGGAUGACGGCCUCGGUGUAA
rnacentral:rRNA from 1 species